rnacentral:rRNA from 1 species
ACGGAGGGUGCGAACGUUGUUCGGAAUUACUGGGCGUAAAGCGCGUGUAGGCGGCUUGGCAAGUCAGAUGUGAAAUCCCUUGGCUCAACUGAGGAAGUGCAUUUGAAACUGCCAGGAUAGAGUACGGGAGAGGGUUGUGGAAUUCCCGGUGUAGAGGUGAAAUUCGUAGAUAUCGGGAGGAACAUCGGUGGCGAAGGCGGCAACCUGGACCGAUACUGACGCUGAGACGCGAAAGCGUGGGGAGCAAACAG